GUGUAGAGAGAGAGAGGAUUAACACAGCCAAUUUUAAAGGACAUGAAGAUUUACUACUUGCCUGGAAUUAAUGUAGGCACAUUAAAGACAUGCCAUGGAUGGCUGUAGACCCUCUCCAUCCGGCUGCCACGUUGAAUUAUCACUUGCAAGA